GCGCCUAUAGCUCAAUUGGCUAGAGCGCCGAGCUUAUUCCUCGGAUGUUGGGGGUUCGAGUCCCUCUGGGCGUA
rnacentral:tRNA from 1 species